rnacentral:rRNA from 1 species
CCUACGGGAGGCAGCAGUAGGGAAUCUUCCACAAUGGGCGAAAGCCUGAUGGUGCAACGCCGCGUGGGUGAAGAAGGUCUUCGGAUCGUAAAACCCUGUUGUUAGAGAAGAAAGUGCGUGAGAGUAACUGUUCACGUUUCGACGGUAUCUAACCAGAAAGCCACGGCUAACUACGUGCCAGCAGCCGCGGUAAUACGUAGGUGGCAAGCGUUAUCCGGAUUUAUUGGGCGUAAAGGGAACGCAGGCGGUCUUUUAAGUCUGAUGUGAAAGCCUUCGGCUUAACCGGAGUAGUGCAUUGGAAACUGGGAGACUGGAGUGCAGAAGAGGAGAGUGGAACUCCAGGUGUAGCAGUGAAAUGCGUAGAUAUAUGGAAGAACACCAGUGGCGAAAGCGGCUCUCUGGUCUGUAACUGACGCUGAGGUUCGAAAGCGUGGGUAGCAAACAGGAUUAGAGACCCCAGUAGUC